rnacentral:rRNA from 1 species
GGAAUCUUCCACAAUGGGCGCAAGCCUGAUGGAGCAACACCGCGUGAGUGAAGAAGGGUUUCGGCUCGUAAAGCUCUGUUGUUAGAGAAGAACGUGCGUGAGAGCAACUGUUCACGCAGUGACGGUAUCUAACCAGAAAGUCACGGCUAACUACGUGCCAGCAGCCGCGGUAAUACGUAGGUGGCGAGCGUUAUCCGGAUUUACUGGGUGUAAAGGGCGCGUAGGCGGGGAUGCAAGUCAGAUGUGAAAUCUAUGGGCUCAACUCAUAAACUGCAUUUGAAACUGUAUUUCUUGAGUACUGGAGAGGUAGACGGAAUUCCUUGUGUAGCGGUGAAAUGCGUAGAUAUAAGGAAGAACACCAGUGGCGAAGGCGGUCUACUGGACAGCAACUGACGCUGAGGCGCGAAAGCGUGGGGAGCAAACA